UGACCUCGAAUCAGGUAGGACUACCCGCUGAACUUAAGCAUAUCAUAACCGGAGAGAAG
rnacentral:rRNA from 1 species